AACUUUGGACAAUGGGCGUAAGCCUGAUCCAGCCAUGCCGCGUGAGUGAAGAAGGCCUUCGGGUCGAAAAGCUCUUUCGCACGGAAAGAAAUCGCCCAGGCCAAUACCCCGCGCGGCUCCCGGUACCGGUAUAAGAAGCACCGGCUAACUACCUACCAGCAGCCGCGGUAAUACGGAGGGUGCGAGCGUUAAUCGGAAUUACUGGGCGUAAAGCAUGCGCAGGAGGUUGAUUAAGACAGGCGUGAAAUCCCCGGGCUUAACCUGGGAACUGCGCUUGUGACUGGUCAGCUAGAGUACGGCAGAGGGGGGUGGAAUGCCACGUGUAGCAGUGAAAUGCGUAGAGAUGUGGAGGAACACCGAUGGCGAAGGCAGCCCCCUGGGCCGAUACUGACGCUCAUGCACGAAAGCGUGGGUAGCAAACAGG
rnacentral:rRNA from 1 species